rnacentral:rRNA from 1 species
CGUGGUCCUACGUCUUUACACACACACCGUAACAAAGUCUCAUGGAAUGUAUGCCGCGUUUAACGCAAUACAAUACAACUUUCAGCAACGGAUCUCUUGGCUCUCGCAUCGAUGAAGAACGCAGCGAAAUGCGAUAAGUAAUGUGAAUUGCAGAAUUCAGUGAAUCAUCGAAUCUUUGAACGCACCUUGCGCCCUUUGGCUAUUCUGAAGGGCAUGCCUGUUUGAGUAUCAUGAACACCUCAACUCUCAUGGUCCGCCAUGAUGAGCUUGGACUCUGGGGGUCUUGCCGGACCAGCGUCGGCUCCCCUAAAAUGGAUCAGCUUGCCAGUGUUUGGUGGCAUCACAGGUGUGAUAACUAUCUACGCAUGUGGUUCCCCGCCAUGUAACCUUCAGUGAUGGAGGUUCGCUGGAGCUCACAGAUGUCUCUCCUCGUGAGGACAGCUUUUUGAACGUUUGAUCUCAAAUCAGGUAGGACUACCCGCUGAACUUAAGCAUAUCAAUAAGCGGAGGAAAAGAAACUAACAAGGAUUCCCCUAGUAACUGCGAGUGAA